CUGUGACUCUCUGAUGCAUUUCGAGAAUACUUGCACCCAACAGCAUGGGUGAAAUGCUGAAGUGCACAGAAAACUCUGAACAGAGCUACAAAAAUUUGAGGGGGUGAAUCAUUUGUCCACCGCUCACAAAAUCAGUUAUGAGUUUGACAUUUCAAGAAAACUGUGUGUAAACUGAUGUUUAUAUGCAAUAGACCACAAAGACAAAACAAUUUCAAAUGAAAGAAACAGUUUAGUUAGCCUGAUAUAAAUAUCUUGGGUUUUUUUUUUUUUUUCCAUCAUUCUUUCCAUCAAGAAACACACAUGAACUUCACUUCAGGGCAGUGUUUUUCUUCCUUCAAGUUCACCUGGCAAGCUGAAAAAUUAGUUAUUUGUACAGGCCUGGUUGUGAAUCAUCCUGACUCUGCUGUGUCUCUGCUGAGGAGGACAUGUUAGCCCCUGCCACCUUUGCGUGGUGCUUUUGAUUUUUCUGCUUUCAAGUUCACCAUGAUCCAGUUUGGCCUCAGAUAGUCUGAAAAACACCAUUUCUCAAAAAGCACUUGAACUGCUCCAGGGCAGGUAACACAAGCCAAUAUCCUGAAUCCCAGGCUUGUGACCAGCCACCAAACCGGUACCCAAAGGACAGGAGUGGUCCAAGCAGCAGUAGCAAAUGUCAUCUCCCACUAAACCUGCCCAGAGGAAAAUGGAGAAGUAUACUCAAAGAUGGUGUUUGCCUACCUCACAGUGCAAAGCAAAGUCUCAGUGACAUGACUCCACAUUUUUAUUUUGCACUUCAGAUUGUCUCAAAUAUUUCCAGUGGAUGGUAAAUGCUGUCUUCUGUAACAAGUUCUCCUGAAGCCUUACUUGAUCAUGAUUACAAGGUAAAUCUCAUAAUCAGAGACUCUUCUAAAUGCUGAAGGAUUGCUGGGGUUCAGAAGGAUCUAUCUCAGCUUAUAUGUAACUCAAUUUCAAACGAGGAUCAAUAUUCUUCAUAAAUAUCCUAAAACUUACUCCGGUCAGUGGAUAAAACUUUUCUAGAGAAGAAAGUAUACUUUUGUUGUUAUAGAAUUUGAAAAAGAACAUGAACUUAGAAGGGUUUCAGUCUCCUUUUGAGAGGGAAGUUCUUUAGAAGUUAUGGAAAAUAGACUUUCUUGAAAAUACAUUUCUAUACAAAAGGAACGUCAAGUAUUUCUGAAAAUGUGAGAAUAGAGAAAGAGAACAUUUUCCCAGAGCUGCAAAUCACUGGAGGCUGCCUUCCAGGAGAAGAAACUU
ensembl:lncRNA